rnacentral:rRNA from 1 species
AGAGUUUGAUCCUGGCUCAGGAUGAACGCUACUAGUAUGCUUGACACAUGCAAGUCGAACGGAAUUUUUUUUCGUGGCGAACGGGUGAGUAAAUACGGAAUUUUACCUUUUAGUUCAGCACAAAACUUAUUUUUAAGUGAAAAUUCUGAAUACUUUAAAGAAUUAUCAUACGAAUAAUUCGCUAAAAGAUAAAUCUGUUUAAGAUUAGGUUGUUGGUAAUUUAAAAGCUUACCAAGCCUACGAUCUUUAGUUGGUCUUAGCGGACGGUCAACCACACUGGAACUGAAAUAAGGUCCAGGCUGACAAUGUCGGCCAGCAGUGAGGAAUAUUGGACAAUGAACGAAAGUUUGAUCCAGCAAUACUAACUGGAUGAUGACGGCUUAUUUAAGUUGUAAGAUCCUUUCAUUAAAGAAGAUAAUGACGUUAUUUAAGGAAGUUUAGUCCUGGCUAAUACUCGUGCCAGCAGCCGCGGUAAUACGGGAAGGGCAAGCGUUAUCCGGCGUGACUGGGCGUAAAGAGUCCGUAGACGGUAAAGUAAGUUUUUUGUUAAAUUUUAAAACUUAAUUUUAAGAAAGCAAUUAAAAUACUGCUUUACUUUGAGUUUAAUGCAGAAAAGUGGAAUUUUAUAUGGUAGGGGUGAAAUCCGUAGAUAUAUAAAGGAAUGUCAACAGCGAAGGCAACUUUUUGGUAUAAACUGACGUUGAGGGACGAAAGUGUGGGUAGCAAACAGGAUUAGAUACCCUGGUAGUCCACACCGUAAAUUCUGAGUGCUGUAAUUUAAUUGACAUGCAAAUAUGCACGUUUUAGAUUUCCAAGCUAACGCUAUAAGCACUCCGCCUGAAGAGUACGAUCGCAAGAUAGGAAUUCAAAGGAAUUGACGGGGGUUUAACACUAGUGGUGGAGCAUGUGGUUUAAUGCGAUGAUCCGCGCAAAAUCUUACCAAUUCUUGACAUAUUAAAUACUGGAUUUAAGGAAUAUCGAUGAAAUUCGUUAAUUUUACUUAUUUUUUAUCAUGAGUAUUUUUUACAGGUGUUGCACGACUGUCGUCAGCUCGUGUCGUGAGAUGUUUGGUUAAGUCCUGAAACGGGUGUAACUCUUAUUUUUAAAAAAGUUCUACAAAUUAAAAAUAAACAAACGUUUAUUUUUAAAGCUUUAAAAAUACCGUCAACGAUAAGUUGAAGGAGGGUGAGAAUGAAGUCAAGUCAAUGUGACCCUUAUGAAUUGGGCUACACAUGUGCUACAAUGAAAACUACAAAAAGUAACGAAAAAGAAAUUUUGAGUUAAACUACAAAAGUUUUCUCAGUUCGGAUUGCAGACUGUAACUCGUUUGCAUAAAGUUGGAAUCACUAGUGAUCGCGAAUCAGCACGUUGCGGUGAACAUGUAAAUUGACCUUGUACACACCGCCCGUCACUUGCAAAGAGUUAGUUUUACUUGAAGGUUUUAAUAUAACCCAUGGAAAGACUGAUGAUUUGGAUGAAGUCGUAACAAGGUAACC